rnacentral:lncRNA from 1 species
UGGCCACUACGAAUAAACCAGACAUACAAUUCGCGCCUAACGGCUUAGCCAGAAAUGCCACCCGCAGUCGGGCCCCGGGCCGGAAACCUCCCCGACGCGGGGCCGCGUGCAGGGGAAGGGGCGGGCGCAGGCUGCGGGGUCGGCACGGAAGAUGCACGCGAGGCUCCUGGGGCUCUCGGCCCUGCUGCAGGCGGCCGAGCAGAGCGCGCGCCUUUACACCGUGGCUUACUACUUCACCACAGGACGGCUUCUGUGGGGGUGGCUGGCCCUUGCUGUCCUCCUGCCCGGGUUCUUGGUCCAGGCCCUGAGCUACCUGUGGUUCCGAGCAGACGGGCAUCCAGGGCAUUGCUCCUUGAUGAUGCUGCACCUCCUACAGCUUGGUGUUUGGAAGCGGCACUGGGACGCUGCACUGACCAGUCUGCAGAAGGAACUGGAGGCUCCCCACCGAGGCUGGCUGCAGCUGCAGGAGGCCGACCUGUCGGCCCUUCGACUCUUGGAGGCCCUGCUGCAGACUGGGCCCCACCUGCUGCUUCAGACAUAUGUUUUUCUAGCCUCAGACUUCACAGAUAUUGUGCCAGGGGUGAGCACCCUGUUUUCCUGGUCCUCACUCUCCUGGGCACUGGUGUCCUACACUCGCUUCAUGGGCUUCAUGAAGCCAGGCCACCUGGCCAUGCCAUGGGCCGCCCUCUUCUGCCAGCAGCUCUGGAGGAUGGGCAUGUUGGGAACCCGCGUGCUGAGUCUGGUUCUGUUCUACAAAGCCUACCACUUUUGGGUUUUUGUGGUUGCAGGUGCCCACUGGCUGGUGAUGACAUUCUGGCUUGUCGCCCAGCAGAGUGACAUCAUCGACAGCACCUGCCACUGGAGGCUGUUCAACCUGCUCGUGGGGGCCGUGUACAUCCUCUGCUACCUCAGCUUCUGGGACAGCCCUUCUAGAAAUAGGAUGGUCACGUUCUACAUGGUCAUGCUGUUGGAGAACAUCAUCCUGUUGCUGUUGGCCACCGACUUUCUCCAGGGGGCAUCGUGGACCAGCCUGCAGACCAUAGCUGGGGUCCUGUCUGGAUUUCUGAUUGGCAGUGUCUCACUGGUAAUUUAUUACAGCCUGCUGCAUCCAAAAUCCACAGACAUCUGGCAGGGCUGCCUAAGGAAGUCCUGUGGCAUUGCAGGAGGUGAUAAAACAGAGAGAAGAGAUUCUCCCCGGGCCACAGAUCUAGCUGGGAAGAGAACCGAGAGCUCAGGCUCAUGCCAAGGGGCAAGUUAUGAACCAACCAUUUUAGGGAAGCCCCCUACCCCUGAGCAGGUCCCCCCAGAGGCUGGGCUGGGGACCCAGGUUGCUGUGGAGGACUCUUUCCUCAGUCAUCACCACUGGCUGUGGGUGAAACUUGCCCUAAAAACAGGAAAUGUGUCUAAGAUCAAUGCCGCCUUUGGAGAUAACAGUCCUGCCUAUUGUCCACCUGCAUGGGGGUUGAGUCAACAGGACUACCUGCAGAGAAAGGCCUUGUCUGCCCAGCAAGAGCUCCCAUCCUCAUCCCGUGACCCCUCAACCUUAGAGAACAGCUCUGCGUUUGAAGGUGUCCCUAAAGCAGAGGCCGACCCAUUGGAAACCUCAAGUUACGUAUCUUUUGCCAGCGAUCAGCAGGAUGAAGCACCUACCCAGAACCCAGCAGCCACGCAGGGGGAGGGCACCCCAAAGGAAGGAGCUGACGCUGUUUCUGGGACACAGGGGAAGGGGACAGGUGGGCAGCAGAGAGGAGGGGAAGGACAGCAGAGUUCCACGUUGUACUUCAGCGCCACUGCAGAAGUGGCCACAUCCUCACAACAAGAAGGCAGCCCAGCUACUCUGCAAACGGCCCACUCUGGAAGGAGGCUGGGAAAGAGCAGCCCUGCCCAGCCUGCAUCGCCCCACCCAGUGGGCUUGGCGCCCUUCCCCGACACCAUGGCCGACAUUAGCCCCAUCCUAGGCACAGGCCCAUGUAGAGGCUUCUGCCCCAGUGCAGGCUUCCCUGGAAGAACCCUCAGUAUCUCAGAGCUAGAGGAGCCGCUGGAGCCCAAAAGGGAGCUAAGUCACCAUGCAGCUGUUGGUGUGUGGGUGUCAUUGCCACAGCUGAGGACUGCCCAUGAGCCCUGCCUCACGUCCACCCCUAAGUCUGAGUCUAUCCAAACGGACUGCAGCUGCAGGGAACAGAUGAAGCAAGAGCCGAGUUUUUUCAUCUGACCACAGUCAUGGUGGGAUAAGACAACAGGCUGACAAACCAAGCUGGCCAUUUGGUACCGUGAGAAAGGAAAUCCCACUUCUGACACCUGUGUCCUUGGGCACAUCACUGUCACCUCUGAAUCUCCAUCUGCAUCCCUGAAAAAUGAAGAAACAGGGCUGGAUGAUUUUGCAGGUCCAAUGCAAACAUCACAGACCCCACCCAUGCAUAGGAGAGACUCUAACAUACUUUAGAGGAGGAGAAAGAGAUUCCAGUCAAAAUUGUCUGCUACCUUUUAUGAGCUGUAGGUUCCCUUAUUUUAUCUUUUUGCUGUGGCUUCUAGGAAACACAAAGGUAAAACCCAGAUUCCUAUUUUAUUUGAGGUUCUUGUUACAAUUAGCUUUGCCUCACAUUUAGCGGUUAUGAAUCUCAUUUUAAUAUAUUCUAACUGUAUUAUGUUAUGAAAUCUCUUGGUAAGAUAAUUUGCAUGCUUUCUGGGAGUAGGUAAGGCCUGUGUGCUUGUAAUAACUAACAUAACUGAAAGUGCAAAUGUCAUUCUAAGAUUCCCAUAUCUUUUGGUUAGGGGACAAUAUUAGAGCUUUUAAAAAGGAAGGGUAGACUCACUUAGCUCAGCCUCACCCAUGCUAAGGGCACAUGCACACAUUUUCUGCAAUUCACUCUCAGACCAUCAGCAUCCUCCUGGCCAGCUGCAUAAAUGUAUUUUUCUGUGAAAUGUGCUGCUCCCCUUUGUGCAGGCUGGCCAGCCAAGAGUUCCCUUCCAGCUCCCACUGCUGCUUUCCACCCCAUCUCCUUUAUGUCCAAGCUUUGUUCCCACUUCCAUUCAAUGUGAGACACUAUCCAUGAUUUAAGCCCAUCCAAAAAGAAGGGAGGAAACGUCCAUUCCUCUCGCACUCUCCUUCUCUCUGACUCCUCCACUCUAAAGUGUUCUUUGUGGCUAGGUAUUUCCAUAAUUUCUUUAAGCCUUCCUUUGUAGCUGAUUAAGGAAGUCUAGUCAUAAACUAUCAAAGAGAAAGGCACACAGAGAGCUGGAUGCUAUUUAGGGAUGGGUAUUUUUGUUUUGUUUUGUUUCAUUUCAUUUGUUUAUUUGUUGAGACAGGGCCUCUCUGUCACCCAGGCUGGAGUGCAGUGGCAUGAUCAUGGCUCACUGCAGCCUCAACCUCCAGGGCUUAAGCAAUCCUCUCACCUCAGCCUCUCGAGUAGCUGGGACUACUGGCAGGUGGGCACCAUGCCUGGCUACUUUUUUGUAUUUUUUGUAGAGACAGGUUCUUGCCAGGUGGCUCAGGCUGGUCUCCAACUCCUGAGCUCAAGCGAUCUGCCCAUCUCGGCCUCCCAAAGUGCUGGGAUUACAGGCGUGAGCCACCGUGCCCAGCCAGAAUGGGUAGUUUUUAUUCUCUCCAAACACUUUUGGAUUAGGGUACAAUAUUAGAGCUCUAAAAAGGAAUAGUAGAAUAACUUAGCUCAGCCUGACACAUACUAAGGGCACCUGCAGACACUUUCUGCAAUAAGCUCUCAGACCAUCAGCAUCCUCCUGGCCAGCCACAUAAGCCAAUCGGGGAUGCAGACAAGUGGCUACAAACUUUCCAUACAACAGGUGAAGAUAACGAGACUUUGGGUCGGAUGCAGGGGCUCACACCGGUAAUCCCAGCACUUUGAGAGGCUGAGGCGGGAAGAUCACUUGAGGCCAGAAGUUCGAGACCAGCCUGGGCAAUGUAGUGAGACCCCAUCACUACUAAAAAUACAUAAAUUAUCCUGGUGUGGUGGCACACACCUGUAGUCCCAGCUGCUCGAGAGGCUGAGGCACGAGAAUCAGUUGAACUGGGAGGCAGAGGUUGCAGUGAGCUGAGAUCGUACCAUGGCACUCCAGCCUGGGCGACAGAGCAAGACUCUAUCUAAAAAAAAAGCUUGUUAAUAGAACAAAAUCAUUCAUAGUUCCAUUCACUGUGCUAUCCCAGCAUCUCAGUCCUUCCUCCAUGCAGUCUCUCGCCCAGCCAGGUGAGAGCAUGAGCACUUCCCUGAGUCCUCACCAGCCCUCCCCAUUUGUCCUCCAAGACUCCACUCAAACAUCUCCUCUUGGUGCCUUCCUGGGCCCUCCCCAGCUCCAGCUCUCCCAGACCUACCCUCUGUCCCCAGGUUGUAUUCCACUGCCCUUUGCCCUCUGGUGACCUCUUCCUAAACUUGAAGCCCUGCCUCCCUGAAGGCUAAUUAAGGGUUGCAGUCCUCCUUCUGGGCUAACUCCAAGGUCCAGCAGAGUGUCCAGCAAAAGUAGGCGUUAGAGCAUUCAACAGCAUGAAUUCACUAACGAGCGGGGCUGUGGGCAUGAAUUUCAGCUUGAGUGCAUAUCCUGGAUCAACGGCAUUUGUGUUAUGGGGUAAAAGUAAGGGUGGGAUAUGGGGAAUUUGCUCAUUCUUUUCAAACUUUCUAGCCCUUGAAUAGCCUGGAAAGCUAGAAAUACUCUUCAUUCAUUCAUUCAUUUAAGGAAUAUUAGUUGAGUAUGACAGGCACUGAGUAUGCAGAAAUCAAGGCAUGUACUUGCUGUUCGAGGCCCUGUGGACCAACAUCGGCUUCUCAGAUGGCUUCCUCACUUCAUGCCUCCAGAAAGCAUAUUGCCCGGUGAUGAAAAGGAUCAGAAAAUAUACACUAUAUUUAUUAGAGAAGACUAAUAAAUGGACACUUAAUUC